GACGUAGGAGGCGAGCGUUGUCCGGAAUUAUUGGGCGUAAAGAGCUCGUAGGCGGUCUGUCGCGUCUGCUGUGAAAACUCAGGGCUUAACCCUGAGCUUGCAGUGGGUACGGGCAGACUAGAGUGCGGUAGGGGAGACUGGAAUUCCUGGUGUAGCGGUGAAAUGCGCAGAUAUCAGGAGGAACACCGGUGGCGAAGGCGGGUCUCUGGGCCGUAACUGACGCUGAGGAGCGAAAGCAUGGGGAGCGAACAGG
rnacentral:rRNA from 1 species